rnacentral:rRNA from 1 species
CCUACGGGUGGCAGCAGUGAGGAAUAUUGGUCAAUGGCCGUAAGGCUGAACCAGCCAAGCCGCGUGAAGGAAGAAGGAUCUAUGGUUUGUAAACUUCUUUUAUAGGGGAAUAAAGGUAUCCACGUGUGGCUAUUUGCAUGUACCCUAUGAAUAAGCAUCGGCUAACUCCGUGCCAGCAGCCGCGGUAAUACGGAGGAUGCGAGCGUUAUCCGGAUUGAUUGGGUUUAAAGGGUGCGUAGGUUGUUUUUUAAGUCAGCGGUGAAAGUUAGUGGCUCAACCAUAGAAUUGCCGUUGAAACUGGAAGACUUGAGUGUGUUUGAGGUAGGCGGAAUGCGUGGUGUAGCGGUGAAAUGCAUAGAUAUCACGCAGAACUCCGAUUGCGAAGGCAGCUUACUAAGCCAUAACUGACACUGAAGCACGAAAGCGUGGGGAUCAAACAGGAUUAGAUACCCUUGUAGUC